rnacentral:rRNA from 1 species
AUUGAACGCUAGCGGGAUGCUUUACACAUGCAAGUCGAACGAGUGGCGGACGGGUGAGUAAUAUAUCGGAACGUGCCCAGUAGCGGGGGAUAACUACUCGGAAGAGUUGCUAAUACCGCAUACUUUUGGAGCGGCCGAUUUCGGAUUAGCUAGUUGGUGGGGUAAAGGAUCACAAAGGCCACGAUCCGUAGCUGGUUUGAGAGGACGACCAGCCAAACUGGGACUGAGACACGGCCCAGACUCCUACGGGAGGCAGCAGUGGGGAAUUUUGGACAAUGGGGGAAACCCUGAUCCAGCCAUCCCGCGUGUAUGAGAAGGCCUUCGGGUUGUAAAGUACUUUUGGCAGAGAGGCGGUAUCUGCAGAAUAAGCACCGGCUAACUACGUGCCAGCAGCCGCGGUAAUAC